GAUCAACGCUGGCGGCGUGCCUCAGACAUGCAAGUCGAACGCGAAAGUCCCCUUCGGGGGAUGAUUAGAGUGGCGCACGGGUGAGUAACACGUAGGUAAUCUACCUUCGAGUGGGAAUAACUCAGGGAAACUUGAGCUAAUACCGCAUAAUGCAGCGGCACCACAUGGUGACAGUUGUUAAAGCAUUUAUGCGCUUGAAGAGGAGCCUGCGGCGGAUUAGCUAGUUGGUAAGGUAAUGGCUUACCAAGGCUACGAUCUGUAACCGGCCUGAGAGGGCGGACGGUCACACUGACACUGAAUAACGGGUCAGACUCCUACGGGAGGCAGCAGUCGGGAAUUUUGGGCAAUGGGCGAAAGCCUGACCCAGCAACGCCGCGUGAAGGAU
rnacentral:rRNA from 1 species